rnacentral:rRNA from 1 species
CAGCCGCCGCGGGAAUACGGAGGGAGCUAGCGUUGUUCGGAAUUACUGGGCGUAAAGCGCACGUAGGCGGUUAUUCAAGUCAGAGGUGAAAUCCCGAGGCUCAACCUCGGAACUGCCCUUGAUACUGGGUGUCUUGAGUCCGGAAGAGGUGAGUGGAACUGCGAGUGUAGAGGUGAAAUUCGUAGAUAUUCGCAAGAACACCGGUGGCGAAGGCGGCUCACUGGUCCGGAACUGACGCUGAGGCACGACAGCGUGGGGAGCAAACAGGAUUAGAUACCCGGGUAGUCCCUGUCUCUUAUAC